ACGCGAAAGCUCCCUUCGGGGAGCAAGUAGAGUGGCGCACGGGUGAGUAACACGUAGGUAAUCUACCUUUGGAUGGGGAAUAACAACCGGAAACGGUUGCUAAUACCGCAUAAUGCAGCGGCACCUAAUGGUGACAGUUGUUAAAGCGGGGGAUCGCAAGACCUCGCGUCUGAAGAGGAGCCUGCGGCGGAUUAGCUAGUUGGUAAGGUAACGGCUUACCAAGGCGAUGAUCCGUAGCCGGCCUGAGAGGGCGGUCGGCCACACUGACACUGACAUACGGGUCAGACUCCUACGGGAGGCAGCAGUCGGGAAUUUUGGGCAAUGGGCGAAAGCCUGACCCAGCAACGCCGCGUGAAGGAUGAAAUCCCUCGGGAUGUAAACUUCGCAAGAACGGGAAGAAUAAGCCGGUGUAAAUACCACCGGCGAUGACGGUACUGUUUGUAAGCUCCGGCUAACUCCGUGCCAGCAGCCGCGGUAAUACGGGGGGAGCAAGCGUUG
rnacentral:rRNA from 1 species